CCUACGUGCGGCAGCAGUGGGGAAUAUUGGACAAUGGGCGAAAGCCUGAUCCAGCCAUGCCGCGUGUGUGAAGAAGGCCUUCGGGUUGUAAAGCACUUUCAGUGGGGAAGAAAGCCUUGGGGCUAAUACCCUCGAGGAAGGACAUCACCCACAGAAGAAGCACCGGCUAACUCCGUGCCAGCAGCCGCGGUAAUACGGAGGGUGCGAGCGUUAAUCGGAAUUACUGGGCGUAAAGCGCGCGUAGGCGGUCUGAUAAGCCGGUUGUGAAAGCCCAGGGCUCAACCUGGGAACGGCAUCCGGAACUGUCAGGCUAGAGUGCAGGAGAGGAAGGUAGAAUUCCCGGUGUAGCGGUGAAAUGCGUAGAGAUCGGGAGGAAUACCAGUGGCGAAGGCGGCCUUCUGGACUGACACUGACGCUGAGGUGCGAAAGCGUGGGUAGCAAACAGGAUUAGAUACCCUAGUAGUC
rnacentral:rRNA from 1 species